GUAGCGGCCGGCGGCGCCGCGGCCCCCUCAGGGCGGCGGCGGUCGGGGCGCGGGGCGGCGGCGGCCCCGGCUGGCAGCGGCCCUUGGCUCCUCGCUCAGGCCCCUGUCCUUCUCAAGUUUCGAGUUUUCGCCGCAGUUUAACAUCGCACGCCACAGAACGCGACAGGUGGCAAAUAACCAAGGCAGUACGGCGCGGGAGGCCGUGGCCAGCGUGCAAUGAUGAGGUUGAGGCAACUGAGGGAGCUGGAAUCGAGCUGGGGCGGAUAUGCAAGAAAGCCUGCGUCAGGACGGGAGUCCAGCUGAGUGUCUGCGGAGGAACCGAGUACUUCCAGAGGCUGAAAUGUCCUCCAUCCAUCAAGAAGCUAUGGUGGAACUACUUCACCUACAGACGAGUCAACUGA
rnacentral:lncRNA from 1 species